GACGAACGCUGGCGGCGUGCCUAAUACAUGCAAGUCGAGCGAAGUGGAGAGAGCUUGCUCUCGAAGCUUAGCGGCGAACGGGUGAGUAACACGUGGGCAACCUGCCCGAUAGACCGGGAUAACUUGGGGGAAACUCAAGCUAAUACCGGAUAGGAUCAUUAACCGCCUGGUUGGUGAUGGAAAGUCUGAACGACACUAUCGGAUGGGCCCGCGGCGCAUUAGCUAGUUGGUGGGGUAACGGCCCUACCCAAGGCGACGAUGCGUAGCCGACCUGAGAGGGUGACCGGCCACACUGGGACUGAGACACGGCCCAGACUCCUACGGGAGGCAGCAGUAGGGAAUCUUCCACAAUGGGCGAAAGCCUGAUGGAGCAACGCCGCGUGAGUGAUGAAGGUUUUCGGAUCGUAAAACUCUGUUGUUAGGGAAGAACACCCGGGAGAGGAUCCCGGUUUGACGGUACCUGACGAGAAAGCCCCGGCUAACUACGUG
rnacentral:rRNA from 1 species